GGACUACUCGGGUAUCUAAUCCCGUUUGCUCCCCUAGCCUUCGUGCCUCAGCGUCAGGACUUGCCCAGAGAUCCGCUUUCGCAACUGGUCUUCCUCACGAUAUCUACGCAUUUCACUGCUACACCGUGAAUUCCGAUCUCCUCUACAAUCCUCUAGUAUGGUAGUUUCGAAUGCAGUUUCGAGGUUAAGCCCCGAGAUUUCACAUUCGACUUACCACACCGCCUACGCACCCUUUACGCCCAAUGAAUCCGAACAACGCUUGAGACCUCUGUAUUACCGCGGCUGCUGGCAC
rnacentral:rRNA from 2 species